AGAGUUUGAUCAUGGCUCAGAUUGAACGCUGGCGGCAGGCCUAACACAUGCAAGUCGAACGGUAGCACAGAGAGCUUGCUCUCGGGUGACGAGUGGCGGACGGGUGAGUAAUGUCUGGGAAACUGCCUGAUGGAGGGGGAUAACUACUGGAAACGGUAGCUAAUACCGCAUAACGUCGCAAGACCAAAGAGGGGGACCUUCGGGCCUCUUGCCAUCAGAUGUGCCCAGAUGGGAUUAGCUAGUAGGUGGGGUAACGGCUCACCUAGGCGACGAUCCCUAGCUGGUCUGAGAGGAUGACCAGCCACACUGGAACUGAGACACGGUCCAGACUCCUACGGGAGGCAGCAGUGGGGAAUAUUGCACAAUGGGCGCAAGCCUGAUGCAGCCAUGCCGCGUGUAUGAAGAAGGCCUUCGGGUUGUAAAGUACUUUCAGCGGGGAGGAAGGUGUUGUGGUUAAUAACCGCAGCAAUUGACGUUACCCGCAGAAGAAGCACCGGCUAACUCCGUGCCAGCAGCCGCGGUAAUACGGAGGGUGCAAGCGUUAAUCGGAAUUACUGGGCGUAAAGCGCACGCAGGCGGUCUGUCAAGUCGGAUGUGAAAUCCCCGGGCUCAACCUGGGAACUGCAUUCGAAACUGGCAGGCUAGAGUCUUGUAGAGGGGGGUAGAAUUCCAGGUGUAGCGGUGAAAUGCGUAGAGAUCUGGAGGAAUACCGGUGGCGAAGGCGGCCCCCUGGACAAAGACUGACGCUCAGGUGCGAAAGCGUGGGGAGCAAACAGGAUUAGAUACCCUGGUAGUCCACGCCGUAAACGAUGUCGACUUGGAGGUUGUGCCCUUGAGGCGUGGCUUCCGGAGCUAACGCGUUAAGUCGACCGCCUGGGGAGUACGGCCGCAAGGUUAAAACUCAAAUGAAUUGACGGGGGCCCGCACAAGCGGUGGAGCAUGUGGUUUAAUUCGAUGCAACGCGAAGAACCUUACCUACUCUUGACAUCCAGAGAACUUUCCAGAGAUGGAUUGGUGCCUUCGGGAACUCUGAGACAGGUGCUGCAUGGCUGUCGUCAGCUCGUGUUGUGAAAUGUUGGGUUAAGUCCCGCAACGAGCGCAACCCUUAUCCUUUGUUGCCAGCGGUCCGGCCGGGAACUCAAAGGAGACUGCCAGUGAUAAACUGGAGGAAGGUGGGGAUGACGUCAAGUCAUCAUGGCCCUUACGAGUAGGGCUACACACGUGCUACAAUGGCGCAUACAAAGAGAAGCGAACUCGCGAGAGCAAGCGGACCUCAUAAAGUGCGUCGUAGUCCGGAUUGGAGUCUGCAACUCGACUCCAUGAAGUCGGAAUCGCUAGUAAUCGUAGAUCAGAAUGCUACGGUGAAUACGUUCCCGGGCCUUGUACACACCGCCCGUCACACCAUGGGAGUGGGUUGCAAAAGAAGUAGGUAGCUUAACCUUCGGGAGGGCGCUUACCACUUUGUGAUUCAUGACUGGGGUGAAGUCGUAACAAGGUAACCGUAGGGGAACCUGCGGUUGGAUCACC
rnacentral:rRNA from 2 species